rnacentral:tRNA from 1 species
GGGGAUAUAGCUCAGCAGCAUAGCCCCUGCCUUGCAAGCAUAAGGUCCUGAGUUCGAUCCUCAGUACCA